GACGUAGGGGGCCAGCGUUGUUCGGAAUUACUGGGUGUAAAGGGUUCGUAGGCGGUGCGGCAAGUCGGGAGUGAAAUCUCUGGGCUUAACCCAGAGGCUGCUUCCGAAACUGCUGUGCUUGAGUGUGGGAGAGGCGCGUGGAAUUGCAGGUGUAGCGGUGAAAUGCGUAGAUAUCUGCAGGAACACCCGUGGCGAAAGCGGCGCGCUGGACCUCUUCUGACGCUGAGGCGCGAAAGCUAGGGGAGCGAACGGG
rnacentral:rRNA from 1 species